UAGGGAAUCUUCCGCAAUGGGCGAAAGCCUGACGGAGCAACGCCGCGUGAGUGAUGAAGGUCUUCGGAUCGUAAAACUCUGUUAUUAGGGAAGAACAUAUGUGUAAGUAACUGUGCACAUCUUGACGGUACCUAAUCAGAAAGCCACGGCUAACUACGUGCCAGCAGCCGCGGUAAUACGUAGGUGGCAAGCGUUAUCCGGAAUUAUUGGGCGUAAAGCGCGCGUAGGCGGGUUUUUAAGUCUGAUGUGAAAGCCCACGGCUCAACCGUGGAGGGUCAUUGGAAACUGGAAAACUUGAGUGCAGAAGAGGAAAGUGGAAUUCCAUGUGUAGCGGUGAAAUGCGCAGAGAUAUGGAGGAACACCAGUGGCGAAGGCGACUUUCUGGUCUGUAACUGACGCUGAUGUGCGAAAGCGUGGGGAUCAAACAGGAUUAGAUACCCUGGUAGUCCACGCCGUAAACGAUGAGUGCUAAGUGUUAGGGGGUUUCCGCCCCUUAGUGCUGCAGCUAACGCAUUAAGCACUCCGCCUGGGGAGUACGACCGCAAGGUUG
rnacentral:rRNA from 1 species